GUCCACGCUGUAAACGAUGGAUACUCGGUGUAAGGAGGAAUCGACCCCUCUUUGCGCCUAAGCAAACGCGUUAAGUAUCCCGCCUGGGAAGUACGGUCGCAAAGAUUAAAACUCAAAGGAAUAGACGGGGACCCACACAAGCGGUGGAACAUGUGGUUUAAUUCGACGGUAAACGAGGAACCUUACCAAGGCUUGACAUCUCCGGAAUCCUGAGGAAAACUCGGGGAGUGCCGCAAGGAACCGGAUGACAGGUGCUGCAUGGUCGUCGU
rnacentral:rRNA from 1 species